rnacentral:rRNA from 1 species
GGCCUGUGAAGGUGUCCUGUGAGGGAUGCUGGAGGUAUCGGAAGUGCGAAUGCUGACAUGAGUAGCGAUAAAACGGGUGAAAAGCCCGUUCGCCGGAAGCCCAAGGUUUCCUGCGCAACGUUCAUCGGCGCAGGGUGAGUCGGCCCCUAAGGCGAGGCAGAGAUGCGUAGCUGAUGGGAAACAGGUCAAUAUUCCUGUACCUUCGUUAAUUGCGAUGGGGGGGACGGAGAAAGGUAGGCCAGCCAGGUGUUGGAUGUCCUGGUUUAAGCGUGUAGGCGUGCCCCUUAGGCAAAUCCGGGGGGCUUAGCUGAGGCGUGAUGACGAGGUCCCAUGUGGACCGAAGUGGUUGAUCCUAUGCUUCCAAGAAAAGCCUCUAAGCUUCAGAUUGACGAAGACCGUACCGUAAACCGACACAGGUGGACAGGUAGAAUAUACUAAGGCGCUUGAGAGAACUCUGGUUAAGGAACUCGGCAAAAUAGACACCGUAACUUCGGGAGAAGGUGUACCCGACAUGGUGAUC